rnacentral:lncRNA from 1 species
GGCACAACUCAUACCUAUUUUAAAGAUGAAGAAUUGGAGAGUCAUAGAAUCAUAGUCAGGCUUAUAAAUCGCAAACCUAGAAGUUAAAUUCUGUCAUGCCUGGCUAAAGAGUCCAGGCUUCCCCCAAUAGAAAUUUAUAGAUUCAUUAAUGGUUUUAACUUCAAUUGGCUGCAACUGGCCUCCUCAUUAUGAACCUCCUCAGAUAGACCUCUUCAGAGGUGUGUCUAAGAUGAGAGAUUCCAACAUCGCCUGUGUCCUGCAAGUUUUCUUUGAUCAAAUGGAAGCUCACUUGUCCUGCCAAUUCUUUGGGGCAAACAAUGAUUCAAACACCAGGCAGAGUCAUGUUCUUGACAAUAGCUAGGGGUACUAAAGGAAAGAGAUAAAUAUGCGCGUAUCUGGAUGAUAUGAAAGAAUCCUAUCUUAACACAUCAUUUAAUGUCUUCUUACCUGCUCUGACAGAAGCCUUGAUGCUUGGUUGACACUGGGUUGUUUUUAACAAAACCAUCCAUCUCUGGGGGAGUCAGACAUAAGAUUAAGGAACAAAUCAUGCGCAGAGGGUAUUGUGGUUGCAUAGAUUACUGGGAUAACCGAGAGACCCUCAAAUGGAACAAACAGCUGGUCUGGGUGUUUUGCACUUCCAUCUCUCAGAUUUGCAUCUGCUUAGAAUAUUUUUAGCUCGACACAUUUCUUGUCACUUAGAUUGAGCAGGAGCUGUCAUAGAUGAUUGGAGAUAGGGCAGAACAUGACUCUGUUCCCUAGUGUCCGGCAGCGAGAGACCCACACUUCAGGACUCAUCUGGGUGAUUAUGGGAAUGAAGAAGUCAUGACAGAUUUCAUCACUGGGAAAGCCUGCCAUGUCUCGUAAGUGACUUGAGGUUUACACAGAUCCGGCUUUGAAAAUAAUGAACUCCCAAGGACUGCAGAGUGGACAUGCCUUUUGCUUCUUGAGAAGCAAGGCACCGAGCAGACAGUGUCUCUUGGAAGCUUUCCCCACAUCUACAACCUUCUGUGAGAACGGGGUUUUUCAUACCGAACAACUGAUGCACUGUAGAAUCCCAGGUUAGAAAGCCCCCAAUUUAGGAGGUUCCUGACUGUGGAUACAGUGUGACCUCAUGAUCAACUGUAUCUUCCCACUGUGAACCUAAUUAAACCUUUC